rnacentral:rRNA from 1 species
UGGGGAAUAUUGGACAAUGGGCGAAAGCCUGAUCCAGCCAUGCCGCGUGUGUGAAGAAGGCCUUUUGGUUGUAAAGCACUUUAAGCGAGGAGGAGGCUACUUGGAUUAAUACUCUAGGAUAGUGGACGUUACUCGCAGAAUAAGCACCGGCUAACUCUGUGCCAGCAGCCGCGGUAAUACAGAGGGUGCGAGCGUUAAUCGGAUUUACUGGGCGUAAAGCGUGCGUAGGCGGCUUUUUAAGUCGGAUGUGAAAUCCCUGAGCUUAACUUAGGAAUUGCAUUCGAUACUGGGAAGCUAGAGUAUGGGAGAGGAUGGUAGAAUUCCAGGUGUAGCGGUGAAAUGCGUAGAGAUCUGGAAGAAUACCGAUGGCGAAGGGAGCCAUCUGGCCUAAUACUGACGCUGAGGUACGAAAGCAUGGGGAGCAAACAGG